AGCUUGGAUGGAAGGAAUCUGAAAGACUGGGGCUUUGCCUGCAUACUGUUCGACCUGACCAUGCCAUAGUGAAUUGGAUCUGAAACUGGGUAACUUGAAUCAGAGAGCAACCCCACGAAAGGGACCAGACUUCUCAGUUCCAGAGAGGCGUCAGGAGGAAGGCCCAGUGCUGGGGAUGAAAUGGAACCAACAAGACUUGCAAGAGGGGACUACAGGAGCUCAGCUUCCAGAAACACUGACUU